rnacentral:rRNA from 1 species
UACAGAGGGGGCAAGCGUUGUUCGGAAUUACUGGGCGUAAAGGGCGCGUAGGCGGCCUGUUAAGUCGGACGUGAAAUCCCCGGACUCAACCCGGGAACUGCAUCCGAUACUGGCAGGCUUGAAUUCGGGAGAGGGAUGUGGAAUUCCAGGUGUAGCGGUGAAAUGCGUAGAUAUCUGGAGGAACACCGGUGGCGAAGGCGGCAUCCUGGACCGACAUUGACGCUGAGGCGCGAAAGCCAGGGGAGCAAACGGG